AACGCAAAUUGCACUGUUGGGUCCUCCCAGCAGUAUGUCUGUUUGAGUGUCAGCACUUUCCUUAAUAAUCAUCACUAUUUUAUAAUAGUGGAUUGAAUAUUGACACUUUAUGAUACAUCAUAAUGUGUUUAAGUAAAUUGACUUUUCUUUCUUUCAAAUUAGUGGAAGUACAUUGACAACAUGUAAUAAUCAACCAUUGCUUACAUGCACAUUUUAAGCAAUAGCAAGGUAUUUUAUUUAUGUUAUCAAUUAAAUUGUGCAACCAUGAAUGAAUGAAUGAAUGAAUGAAUGAAUGAAUGAAUGAAUGAAAGAAUAAAAAGAAAGUCAUCAACUACUACAACAACAAUUUUAACAUCUUGACCUCAAAUUAGGCAAGGCUACCCGCUGAAUUUAA
rnacentral:misc_RNA from 1 species